GAUGAAGAACGUAGCGAAAUGCGAUAAGUAAUGUGAAUUGCAGAAUUCAGUGAAUCAUCGAAUCUUUGAACGCACAUUGCGCCCCUUGGUAUUCCGAGGGGCAUGCCUGUUCGAGCGUCAUUAUAACCCCUCAAGCUCAGCUUGGUGUUGGGGCCUGCUGCACUGGCAGCCCUUAAAAUCAGUGGCGGCGCCAUCUGGCUCUAAGCGUAGUAAUUCUUCUCGCUAUGGAGUCCUGGUGGAUGCUUGCCAUCAACCCCCAAUUUUUCUAUGGUUGACCUCGGAUCAGGUAGGGAUACCCGCUGAACUUAAGCAUAUCAACAAGCGGAGGA
rnacentral:misc_RNA from 1 species